CCCGCGCCCUAGCCGUGGGCUGAUCCCCUGCGGCGAAAACCGGCACUCCCACCGGCGGGCGCGGGAUUCAUGGGAGG
rnacentral:sRNA from 1 species